UCUUGCUAGAGAAAGCCUCAUCAAUGCAGGUGGAAUCAUCGAGGGCUGCUUCUCACCUGAAAAGUACUCCAUUGAGCUCAGUUCUGCUGCUUAUGAGCAGCUCUGGCGCUUUGACAUGGAAGCUUUGCCAGCUGAUCUCAUCAGAAGGGGAAUGGCAGUUGAGGAUCCUACAGCUGAGCAUGGCUUGAAGCU